CACGGAGUGCCACCGUGCACGGGGAGAGGAGACUCUCCUCUUUGAAGCUUCUUCACCUAGAGGGUGGUUGGGCACUGGAACGGGCUCCCCGGGGACGCGGUCACAGCACCAAGCCUGACAGAGUUCAAGAAGCUUUUGAACAACGUUCUCAGGCACAUGAUGUGAUUCUUGGUGAUGUCCUUUUCAGGGAUAAGAGUUGGACUUGGUGAUCCUUGUGGGUCCCUUUCAACUCAGAAUAUUUUGUGAUUCAGUGAAGUGGCUUCACAGCCAAGCCUUGGUCCAGCCAGGAAUGUGAAACUGAGUUGUGGAACAGUCUGCCUGAACACAUUCUCAGAGAAACUGCAAUGUCAAAGAUAAUAAUUACUGAAGUGUCAUGAUACAUAUCAUUCACAAUAUGAACAUUUUGGCCUCCUUGACCUCAAAAUAAAGCUACAUCAUGUACUGCAGGGAAUCACAUCAAGCUACACCCAGCAAAGGUUUCCAGGUUCAGAGUAUACAAAUCAUCAACCAUAUGAAGCUCAACAAGGGAAGGAGCUGGAUUCUGCAUCUGGGAUGGGGCAACUCCAAAUAGAUCUACAGACCGGGAAUGAGAUGCUGGAAAGCAGUGCCAUGGAAAGGGACCUGAGGGUCCUGGCCGAGGAGAAGUUGCAUCUGAGUCAGCAGUGCCCUGGCAGCCAGGACGGCCAAUCGUGUCCUGGGGGCAUCAGGCAAAGCAUCAUCAGCCAGUUGAGGGAGGGGAUUGUCCCACUCUGCUCUGCACUGGGGCAGCCUCACCUCGAAUAUUGUGGGCAGUUUGGGGCACCACAAAAUAAGACAUUAAGCUCUUAGAGAGUGUCCAAAGGAGGGCAAUGAAGAUGGUGAAGGGCCUUGAGGGGAAGCUUGUGAGGAGCAGCUGAGGUCACUUGUUCUGUUCAGCCUGGAGGAGACUGAGGGGAGACCUCAUGGCAGUCCACAGCUUCCUCAUGAGGGGAGGAGGAGGGGCAGGCACUGAUCUCUUCUCUGUGGUGACCAGUGACAGGACCUGAAGGAAUGGCCUGAAGUUGUGUCAGGAGAGGUUUAGUUUGGAUAUUAGAAAACAUUCUUCCCCCAGCGGGUGGUUGGGUACUGAAACAGGCUACCCAGGGAAGUGGUCACAGCACCAAGCCUGACAGAGUUCAAGAUGCAUUUGGACUUGGGCACAUGGUAUGAUUCUUGGGGUGUCCUGUGCAGGUCCAGGACUUGGACUUGAUGAUCCUUGUGGGUCCUUUCCCACUAGGCAUAUUUUGUGAUACACUUUUUCUAUGUAUUCAAAAUUAGAAUAUCAGUAUUACAAACUCUGCAUUUUAAGAGGAAGUUUUAAAUAGACAUAUAGGCAAGAAUUAUAUCUGAAGUCACAGGAUACAGGAGACUCAUUAAAGACAUCAGUCAGCAAAAGACAGACAUUUUGAUUAUACUGACUAGCUUGCUGCAACACUGUUACUGUAAGGAACUGAUGACAAACCUGCUUUCACCAUAGUAAGAUACAGAAAUGAUGUAGGGACUAUGCAAUAAAACUGCCACCCUCUACUCCAACAGAAAUACAGUGCUCUUUUUACAAAAUUAAGUACAGCAAUUCCUUCAGAAAUUAGCUACUCUAUUCAAUCUAUUAAAUUAAUAAUUAGAGAGAGAAGGAAAAAAAUAAUCUUUAAACAAUGUUAAUAGGUAAGUGUUACACAAUGUGAAACAUAAGAAAAAUGCUGCUAGAAUUGACCUGAACUGAAUAAGAAUUUAAGUUCAGACAACAGUUUCAGUUCUUUUCACUGAGCUUUCUCUAAGUUACUGGGCCAAGUGGAAGAAUUGAAAAAGAGCAGCUUAAGAUUUUUCAUUUAUAGUGGAGGAAUAUUUAUGGAAUCUAGAGUGUUCAACAACUUGACAGCUGGACUGUCAGAAGACAGUAAUAUAGGUCUGGAUGGAGUUCUUGCUGUGACACCAAGAUUAUAAGCUGAUGGCCUAAGAGCUGAGUAAGAUACUCCUUAAUCUUCAUAGAUUCUAUGAUUAGUUCUGACAGCCAUACGCUUCAGCCAUCAGCAAAGCUCACAGUCUUGCUCCUUCUAUUUCAGUCAAUCUGGAAGUAUAGAGAAUGGACAAGAACAUAAAGUACAAGAAAAUAAGGAAAGUGAAGCAGACCUCUGGCAUUUGAUAUCAUCUUUGGUGCUUAAACAGUUCAUCAGUUGAAGAUUUCUCUCUCACAUUGCAUCACUUUAUAUUAAAAUCAUAUAACAUCAUUUGGUUCUCAGUAAAUUUUCAAUUGCUUUACAGAGCAAAUGGAUGCAUAUCCACAUUACACACAUAUUAAUUAUUCUAGGGUUUCUGCAGUGCUUUUAGGAACCCAAGUGUAUCUUCAAACAGUCCUAUUUCCUCUAAUGAGGGUUUGUAUGACACAGGAUACAUAUGUGAAAGCUACAGGUUUUUGUAACUCAGGUCCAAGCGAGCGUAUGUUUCACCAUGCCCUCACCAGGGGCAAGGACAUCUUCAACUAGACCAGGCUGCUCAGAGCCCCAUGCAAUCUGACCUUGAAUGUUUUGAGGGAUGGGACAUCCACAACUUUUCUGGACAACCUGUUACAGUGUCCUCCCACCCACCUUCUAAAAAACCUCUUCCUUAUGUCUAAUCUAAACCAACCCUCUUUUAGUUUAAAAUCAUUACACCUUGUCCUGUCAUACCUUGUCCCCACUAAUACGUUUGUCCCUGUCUUUUUCAUAGGCCCUCUCUUAAGUACUGAAAGGCUGCAAUAAGGUCUUCCCAAAGCCACCUUUUUUCCAGGCUGAACAACGCUGCCAGCUCUCUCAGCCUUUCCUCGUAGUAGAGGUGCUCCAACUCUCUGAUCAUCUUUGUGGCCCUCCUCUGGAACUGCUCCAACAAGUCCAUGUCCUUCCUAUGCUAGAUUGCUAGAAGAAGAACUAAGUGACUGGGAUGAUGUUGUGGGUUUCUGUGGGUGGGGUUUGGUAGCAGGGGGGGCUACAGCAGUUGCUUCUGUUAGAAGCUGCUAGAAGCUUCCCCUGUCCCAUGAAGCCAAUGCCAACCAGCUCCAGAAUGGACACCCUUUCAACCACCAUCACCUCCCCGGGUGCCCUUGAACAACAGAUAUGAGGCCCUAGACUCAGAAAGUCAAGCAGAGAUCAGGCAAGAGGAAGAUCUGUCUGCAGGCUGCACCCUCUCUACCAGAUGGGUUACAACUACAGUUGUAAGAAAAAAAAGAAGGGUAGUUGUAGUAGGUGACUCCCUUUUGAGGGGAACUGAGGGCCCUACAUGUCGACCAGACCCAUCCUACAGGGAUGUUUGCUGCCUUCCCGGAGCCAGGGUGAGGGACAUUGGUAGGAGACUUUCUGAGUUAAUUUGGACCUCAGAUUAUUACACACUGUUGGUAAUCCAGGCUGGCAGUGAUGAUAUUAAUAGAAGAAGUGCCAGGGCAAUCAAAACAGCUUUCAAGGCACUGGGUAGAUCAGUUCAUGGGACAGGCACACAGAUAGUAUUUGCCUCAGUUCCUGUACUUGCUGGAAUGAAUGAGGAGAUGAAUGGGGAAAAGAGUAGGAAAGCCUACCUUAUCAAUAGGUGGCUAAAGGAUUGGUGCCACUGUCAAAAUUUUAGGUUUUUUGACCAUGGGGCAAACUCCACAGCACCCAGUCCUCUUAAAUCAGAUGGGCUUUAUAUAUCUAGGAAGGGUAAAAGGACUGUAGCCCAUAAGUUAGCAGGGCUCAUCAGGAGGGCUUUAAACUAGGUUUGAAGGGGGAAGGGGUUGAAUUCAGCUCUCCAAAGAGAAGUCCAGGGAUGAAAAGCCUGAGUUAAGAGUAAAAUCAGCAGCCCAGCUGAAGUGCACAUAGGAUGUACAUCCAGUGCACAUAGGAUGAGUAACAAACAGGAGGAGCUGGAAGCCAUCGUGCAGCAGGAAAGCUGUGACGUAGUUGCCAUCAUGGAAAUGUGGUGAGAUGACUUGCAUGACUGGAGUGCUGCCAUGGAGGGAUACAAGCUCUGCAGAAGGGACAGGCAAGGUAGGAGAGGUGGAGGGGUGGCUCUGUAUGUUAGAGAGUCUCUUGACUCUGUAGAACUUUGAGGUUACCAACGAUAAGGUUGAGUGUUUGUGGGCCACAAUCAGGGGGAAGGACAACAAGGCUGAUAUCCUGGUGGGAGUCUGUUAUAGACCACCCAACCAGGAUGAUGAGGGUGAUGAAUUAUUCUACAGGCAGCUGGCAGAUGUCUCAAAAUUGCCAGCCCUUGUUCUUGUGGGCGACUUCAACCUGCCGGAUGUCUGCUGGGAGCUCAACACGGCAGAGAAGAGGCAGUCUAAGAGAUUCCUGGAGUGUAUAGAGGAUAAUUUCCUGCUCCAGCUGGUAAAUGAACCCACCAGGGGUGGGGCCCCACUAGACCUGUUGUUUACAAACAGAGAGGGGCUGGUGGGAGAUGUGGUGGUCGGAGGCCAUCUGGGCCACAAUGACCAUGAAAUAAUAGAGUUUGCAAUACUCAGGGAUACAAGGAGGGCCACCAAUAAAACCUCCACACUGGACUUCUGGAGGGCAGAUUUUGGCUUGUUAAGAAGACUGGUCCAGAGCAUACCCUGGGAAAAAACCCUCGAAAACAAGGAGGGAUGGACGUGCUUCAAGAAGGAAGUCUUGAGUGCACAGGAACAGGCUGUACCAGUGUGCCAAAAGGCAAGCCAGCGAGGUAGACAACCAGCUUGAUUGAACAGGGAGAUUCUGAAGGAAAUCAGGGAUAAAAAGAGAGCUUACAGACUAUGGAAAAUAGGGCUGGCUACUCAGGAUGAGUUUAGGAGUACAACUAGGUCAUGCAGAAAGAAAAUUAGACAAAAGCGCAAUUUGAAGUCAAUUUGGCUACUUCUGUUAAGGAUAACAAAAAGCGCUUCUAUAAAUACAUUAAUAACAAAAGGAGGGGCAAGGAAAACCUCCAUUCCUUGUUGGACUUGGGAAGAAACUUGUUAGACUUAUUGGACUAACAGGGAUGACGAGAAGGCUGAGAUACUUAACAUCUAAUUUGCCUCAGUAUUCACCAGUAGGACAGGUGGCCCUCAGGACAACUGUCCUCUGGAGCUGGUAGACAGGGACAGGAAGCCAAACAGCCCCCCUGUAUUCCAGGAGGAAAUAGUCAGUGACUUACUGAGUUACCUGGAUCCACACAAGUCCAUGGGACCGGAUGGGAUCCAUCCUAGGGUGAUGAGGGAGCUGGCAGAAUAGCUCAACAAGCUGCUCUCCAUGAUUUACCAACAGUCCCGGCUCUCUGGGGAGGUCCCAGACGAUUGGAAGUUGGUGAAUGUCACACCGAUCCACAAAAAGGGCUGCCAAGGAGGACCUGGGAAACUCCAGGCCUGUCAGCCUGACCUUAUGCCUGGCAAGGUUAUGGAGCAGAUCAUCCUGUGUGCAAUCACACAGCAGCUACAGGAUGGACAAGGGAUCAGACCCAGCCAGCACGGGUUUAGGAGGGGCAGGUCCUAUUUGACCAACCUAAUCUCCUUUUAUGAUCAGGUGACCCACCCGGUGGAUGAGGGGAAGGCUGUGGAUGUGUCUAUCUGGAUUUCAGGAAAGCCUUUGACACUGUCUCCCACAGUACACUCCUGGAAAAGCUGCAGCCCCAUGGACAAGGGCACUCUGUGCUGGAUUGGGAACUGGCUGGAGGGUCGGGCCCAGAGAGUGCUGGUGAACGAGGCUGCAUCCAGCUGGUGGCCGAUCACUGGUGGUGUCCCCCAGGGAUCAGUGCUGGGCCCAGUCCUGUUUAACAUCUUUAUUGAUGGUUUAAAUGAGGGGAUUGAGUCCAUCAUUAGCAAAUUUGCAGACGACACCAAGUUGGGGGGGGCGCGUUGAUCUGCUGGAAGGCAGGAGGGCUCUGCAGAGGGACCUGGACAGACUGGAGAGUUGGGCUGAUUCCAACAGGAUGAAGUUCAACAAGGCCAAGUGCCGGGUCCUGCACUUUGGCCACAACAACCCCAGGCUGGGGACAGAGUGGCUGGAGAGCAGCCAGGCAGAAAGGGACCUGGGAGUUUGGACUGACAGGAGGCUGAACAUGAGCCAGCGGUGUGCCCAGGUGGCCAAGAAGGCCAAUGGCAUCCUGGCCUGGAUCAGGAACAGUGUGGCCAGCAGGACCAGGGAAGUGAUCCUUCCCCUGUACUCUGCGUUGGUGAGGCCGCACUUUGAGUAUUGUGUUCAGUUCUGGGCCCCUCAGUUCAGGAAGGACAUGGAGGUGCUGGAGCAGGUCCAGAGAAGAGCAAUGAGGUUGGUAAAGGGACUUGAGCACAAGUCCUGUGAGGAGAGGCUGAGGGAGCUGGGAUUGUUUAGUCUGGAGAAGAGGAGGCUCAGAGGUGAUCUCAUCACUCUCUUCAACUACAUGAAGGGAGGUUAUAGCCAGGUGGGGGUCAGUCUCUUCUCCCAGGUAACCACCAGUAGGACAAGAGGGACAGGCUUAAGCUCUGUCAGGGGAGGUUUCGGUUGGAUAUUAGAAAGAAGCUCUUUACAGAGAGAGUGAUCAGGCAUUGGAAUGGCCUGCCCAGAGAGGUGGUGGAUUCACCAUCCCUGGAGGUUUUAAGAUGAGGCUGGAUGCGGCACUGAGUGUCAUGGUCUAGUAAUCACAGUGGGGCUGGAUCAAGGGUUGGACGUGAUGAUUCUGGAGGUCUCUUCCAACCCAGUUAAUUCUAAGAUUCUAUGAUUCCAUGACUUCCUGCUGCUGGCCAAGGCCAAACAACUUCAGAGUAAUAGUAAUGCCUCUGUGAUAACAUCUUUAAGAACAGAAGGUUGUGGCACAGAAAGAAUUCCAGCCAGGGAAGAGCGGAGUGAGAACAUGGGAACAACAAUACAGACACCAAGGUCAGUGCAGAAGGAGGGGCAGGAAGUGCUCCAGGUGCCAGAGCUGAGGCCCUGCAGCCUGUGGGG